ensembl:lncRNA
GGACAAGUUUCUGGCCAUCACCAGUGCCGUGUUCUACCAGCUCUCUGACGACACCAAGGAGCACAGCGAGGCUGACAGAGCAGAGCUGACCCACUGCAUCCUGCUGCAGGCCCGAAUCUGCCCCGAGGAAACGGUCCUGUUUCUGCAGUCACAGCUGGGCGCUGACAGGGAGGCUGGAUGUGUGGCAGCCCUGGGUCUGCUCGGUGCUCUGGCUCGCUCUGAUGAGCCCAUGAUGACAGAGAAGCUGCCCCAGGUUGUGGAGGCUGCGCAGUGUCUGUGCAGCGACCCCAGGAUCCAGGUGAGGAGGGCCAUUCUGCACUUCAUCAAGGAUGUGCUCAGUGCCAACGCCCGGAGCUGCUCAGCCUGGGAUGUGGUGGGGCACAUCUUCAGUGAGUUCAGCCGCACCACGGGAAGAAGGGCAGCUGGAGACCUUUCUGCCCAGGAAGCCCAGGAAGAAGGAGCUCUCCAAGAGCUCUGUAUGGACAUCCUGGAGUCGCUGGAUGUCUCUGUGAGCGGGAUGACCAAACUCCUGUGGCCACGGCUGCUGCUGUACGUGGUGCCAGCCCAGUACACCGGCAUGCUGAUCCCGGUCUCCCGCUGUGUCCAAGCGUUGGCUGAGAG